rnacentral:misc_RNA from 1 species
GAUGAAGAACGUAGCGAAAUGCGAUAAGUAAUGUGAAUUGCAGAAUUCAGUGAAUCAUCGAAUCUUUGAACGCACAUUGCGCCCGCCAGUAUUCUGGCGGGCAUGCCUGUUCGAGCGUCAUUUCAACCCUCAAGCCCCCGGGCUUGGUGUUGGGGAUCGGCGUGCCCUCGCGGCGCGCCGUCCCCUAAAUCUAGUGGCGGUCUCGCUGUAGCUUUCUCUGCGUAGUAGCAACACUCGCACUGGAUCGCAGCGCGGCCACGCCGUUAAACCCCCCACUUCUGAAAGUUUGACCUCGGAUCAGGUAGGAAUACCCGCUGAACUUAAGCAUAUCAAUAAGCGGAGGA